CUAAAACACACACUAAACUCACGCAUAACACCAUUGUUGAGGAGUUGGAGCUUUUGAGCUCCGAUUUGAGUGCCGAGACGAGCCCCGAUCAUCUUUUCGAUCACGUAUUUAAGUAGGUCCUUUUGGGAAGUAACGACUUGAGGGAGAGAGUGACGUUACUCAUUGAUACAGAGACACAACGAGGUUGAGCUGAUGUGAUGAUGGUGCUGCAAUGAGCGGAGUCUCCAGGGUUGUUAAUAAAUAGUUAACCUGUCUAGAAUAUGUCUUCAUACAUAUGUCUAGCUACUUUCCGCUGCAAGAUGUUGUUGAUGUUAUAGUAUGUUAUGUCAUACUUUGAGUCUUAAGAGAAUGGUUUCAUAUGAUGUAUAACUUGAUUAAUGAUAUUAAUUAAGUUUUAUGUUGUCUUUCAUAGACUGUUCAAAAGAGUAUUAAUGAGUAAAUACGAUGAUUUUUCUUAAGUUAAGUAAGAUUUACGGUUUCAAAUGAUGCCCCUUUCUUUCCCUUAUUCUUUAACCCCAUCCCUAGUCGUAGAUCACUCGGCUUAACUAUCCUUAG